CAAGCAGGGUCAUGGGCUAGGGAUAACACUUGCUGUCUGAAUGGUUUAGGGACGACCACCUGCUUGACAACCCCUAAACCCCGAACGUUACCCUGCGCUGCCCACCUGCGCAUAAGAACGCCAGCCUCCAUGAAUUUUCAUUGAAGUGGAAAUACUGGACUGGGCUGGCUCCACGUUCACACGCUCAAGAAUCGAGUCUGACAGGUCCACCUCGUCUCCCAACCUACGGGACUGGGCCCGUGUAAGCACACAAGCUGGGAACACAUGAGGGCGAGCCAGCCGGUACUCGAGCCUAGCCGCAGCACUUCUGGACCCAACAGAGGAACGAGGCGAAAGGUCGGCCCUAGGGCCUGCCUUGGGACGGAGAUUUUAUAAUGAUCGGCGACGGCGAAUAACUCUGACCUGCGCAUCCCUCCCAGCUGGUCAAGGGAUGGAGCUGCUAGAAAAACAGCCAGUGCUGGAGCAGCCAUUCUAAUACUCACAAACCCCAACGACGGAAAAUAAACACAGAACCAUGAGAGGACAUCAGCGAGCCACCAGAAGCGCUCUGCCAUCAGAUCUGCAGAACCCUUCUCUUCCCCCCC